UACGAAGGGGGCUAGCGUUGCUCGGAAUCACUGGGCGUAAAGCGCACGUAGGCGGCUUACUAAGUCAGGGGUGAAAUCCUGGAGCUCAACUCCAGAACUGCCUUUGAUACUGGUGAGCUUGAGUCCGGAAGAGGUGAGUGGAACUGCGAGUGUAGAGGUGAAAUUCGUAGAUAUUCGCAAGAACACCAGUGGCGAAGGCGGCUCACUGGUCCGGUACUGGACGCUGAGGUGCGAAAGCGUGGGGAGCAAACAGGG
rnacentral:rRNA from 1 species